UUCUGAAAGUAAGUGUCUUGGGAAAUUAAAUGGCUCAAUUUAUUAGAAAGAAAUUAAUAGUUAUCAUUUUCCUCGAUCAUGAUUGAUGGAGCUUCAAAUGAUAUCUAGUUCCCUUCUACAAUUUUUAAAGUGACUUCUCAAAUUCAUUUCCUGAGCAAAAACUUAAUUUAGACGAGAAAUCCCCAUGUGUUGAUCUAUUCCAUCCUUGUUGCACCACGUCGUUGAGUUCUGGUUCCAUCAACCAAUCAUUCUUAAAGCGGAAAGGUUUAUUAAAGUCUCUUCUUUUUCGAGUCUAGUUUGAUCAAGAUGGGUGAGUGAUAAAACUUGGAUGCAACAAUACUAUUAAUAAGCUUGAAAUUAGGGAACAAAUCUACCCAAUCUGCAGUAGCCACACCACGGUCAAGUUUUCCCUCUUUUUAGCAUCAUAUUUUCCUCUGCGUUUUGCCCAUGUGUAUUAGUAGCCCUCCAUUGGGAGGUCAUGCGAAUUGCAAUCCGCCAAAGCCUCUCUAAAGCCAUUUAGAAGCCAAUUAGGGUGAUCAAUAAAACCAAUUUUUUCAUCACUGGAGAGAAGGUCGUUGAAGUUACCGAAGACACACAAUGGGAGAGAAGUAUCAUUUGCCAAAUAUCGGAGAAGAUUCCAUGAAUCUUUACUUCUUCGACACUCAAGAUACCCAUAGAAGCCCGUGAGCCUCCAUGAAGGGUUGCUUGAGAAAUUGAGAAGUUGACAGUCAAAAGGGUGUUUCCAAAACAUGACCAAACCUCCACUUCUGCCAUUAGUAUCCACAGAGAGACAAGAAUCAAAGCCAAGAAGAAUUUUUAUUUUGUCAAUAGGUCUCGCAUGAACUAAAGUUUCACAUAAAAGCACAUCCACAUGAUAGGACUAGACAAGAUCACGGACAGCAGGAACUGCAAUCAGGUUGACCAAACCCCAACAGUUCCAACUGAGGAAACUCAUUGGCCCUGGUGGGCCUAGUUUCCAGGGCCCACAAUUAAAAAAAAGGGUUUGGGUUUGUGGUAUGGGAAUAGGUGUGGGUAAAGGUUUCCAUCAUUUGGUUGUCUAUGGCAGAUGAAUGGUAGUGCACGUCAAUGUGAUUAGAUACUGAAUUACGUAGUCUGCGUUUCUUGUCUGCUAUGAUGAGCUCGUGAUUACCUUCAUCAUUAGCAUUCAUUGCUGAAUUAUUGGGAGGAAAUGAGGACAUUGAUGGCUGUUUAUUGGAACUAAUUUCUGACGAUUCUGUUUGGCCAUUGAUUGGUGCAUUCAAGUUUGAAUUUCUGAAUAUAGAAGCUAUAAAUUUCUAAUUGUCACGGUCUGCCUUAUUAUUGGAAUUGAUUGUCUUGUCGGUGCAUUUAAUAUCAUCAUUUUCUUGUCUCCCCCAUUGUUUGAAACCGCCAUGAGUUUGCAUCUCCAGCAUCCUGGAGGUAUCAAGAUCCUCUUGCACCCUAAUUUUGGACUCCAUGCACGUUUUCCAUCAUCUUUGGGUAAGAACAACACUGUACGACAAUGAUCUUUUGUAUGGCCAUGGAUUCCACAAAACUAGCAAAAGGGACCAAGUCUCUCAUAUUUCAUUAUAACUUUGAGUUCUCCAUCUGGCUUUAUAAUUUUCUUUGAUCUCAAGAGAGGCUUUCGCACAUCCAAAAGGACUUUGAUGCGCAUGAAUGAUCUCAAGAAAUUGACAUUGUUCUUCUCAUCAUACUCAAGGAAUUGGCCCAUGUAGUUUCCAAGUCCCUCACCAAUCAUCUGUGACAUAAAUCCUACUGGUAAAUUGUGGAUUUGUAUCUAGAAUGGUACGUAGAAGAGAGGCACGACUUUUGGAUCUUCUCUUUCUUUAAUGGCUCCCAAUAUCAGAACAUUCUUAUCAAAACUCCAUGGACCGCCUUUGAGGACUCUUUGAUAAUCAACAGUAUGAUAGAACUGAAAGAGAUUUUCCAUCUUCAAGGUUAGAAAUGGCUACUCCUUGGAAGGGUUCCCACACAAGUGACAUACGGUCCUUCAUAAUUUAACUACGUAUGUUUGUAUCUGAUAGAAAGCGCCCUACCAGACACAAAGAGUAGUCUACUGCUGCUUCAAUGGGUGUUUCAAUGUUAAACUCUAGACCCAUAUCAUCAUCAUCUAGACUCAGGUUUUGUAUAUUAGGGGGCUCCAUAGAUAGUGGGUGUGAGAAGAUAAGGGAGGGAAUGGGUAAGGUUAUGGGGGAAGGAUCACUCAACAAACAAGAAAAGUUCAAAAUCUCACAGGGUCAAGGACAAAGCUCUCAUGGGAG
rnacentral:lncRNA from 1 species